rnacentral:rRNA from 1 species
GCAUCGAUGAAGAACGCAGCGAAAUGCGAUAACUAAUGUGAAUUGCAGAAUUCAGUGAAUCAUCGAGUCUUUGAACGCACAUUGCGCCCUCUGGUAUUCCGGAGGGCAUGCCUGUCCGAGCGUCAUUGCUGCCCUCAAGCCCGGCUUGUGUGUUGGGCCCCGCCCCCCCCGCCGGGGGGACGGGCCCGAAAGGCAGCGGCGGCACCGCGUCCGGUCCUCGAGCGUAUGGGGCUUCGUCACCCGCUCUAGUAGGCCCGGCCGGCGCCAGCCGACCCCCAACCUUUAAUUAUCUCAGGUUGACCUCGGAUCAGGUAGGGAUACCCGCUGAACUUAAGCAUAUCAAUAAGCGGAGGA